AAAUAUAUAUUUGUCGGAUUCUCAUUAUGAUUAGGGGCAUGUAACGAAUCUUCAUUUGGAUUAGACAUUGUUAUUAUGCAAUAGAGAAGAUAUUUACUAGUACAAGUAUGAUUAUUACAGAAUUUGACAAGUAACUGUGGUAAUUAGAUACUCGAGAUACUAAUGACAAUGAUCUUAGGUUCCAUAACGAAUCCGCGGUCAACGGGAUAAUAAAAUGCGCUUUCUUCCAAAGCCCAAUUGUACUCUACUUGCUUGCCUACGGUACAAGUAUUACUAAACUAAC
rnacentral:misc_RNA from 1 species